AUUAGAUACCCUGUUAUUAAUGGGUUAAAUAUUGUGAGUAAGUGAAUUAAUGGAAACAAAAAAAUAUGGCGGUACUUUAAGCUUAUCAGAGGAAUUUGCUCUGUAAUGGAUAAAACACCUGAAUCUUACUAAAGUUAGUUAAAUCAGCUUGUAUACCACUAUAAGAGUAAUAAUUUAUUAUUAUUUCUAUAAUUUUUUCAUAAAAAAAUAAAUUAAGUCAUGGUGCAGCAAAAAUUUUAGAAUGAAGUGAAUUACAUUUCUUUUAAGAAUAAAAAAUUGAAAAAUUAUAUUAGGAUUUGAAAGUAAAUAAAUAAUAACAUGAUUUAUUGAAUUUAGCUCUAAAGUAUGUACACAUCGCCCGUCGCU
rnacentral:rRNA from 1 species